CCACGCCGUAAACGAUGAAUGCUAGGUGUUGGGGGUCAAACCUCGGUGCCGAAGUUAACACAUUAAGCAUUCCGCCUGGGGAGUACGGUGGCAACACUGAAACUCAAAGGAAUUGACGGGGACCCGCACAAGUAGCGGAGCAUGUGGUUUAAUUCGAAGCAACGCGAAGAACCUUACCAAGGCUUGACAUAUAGUUGAGUCAUUGAGAAACCAAUGAGUCCCUCGGGACAGCUAUACAGGUGGUGCAUGGUUGU
rnacentral:rRNA from 1 species